GACGAACGCUGGCGGCAUGCCUAAUACAUGCAAGUCGAGCGAACAGAUGAAGUGCUUGCACUUCUGACGUUAGCGGCGAACGGGUGAGUAACACGUAAGGAAUCUACCUAUAAGCGGGGGAUAACAUUCGGAAACGGGUGCUAAUACCGCAUAAUAUCUUCUUCCGCAUGGAAGAAGAUUGAAAGACGGCUCUGCUGUCACUUAUAGAUGACCUUGCGGUGCAUUAGUUAGUUGGUGGGGUAAUGGCCUACCAAGACGAUGAUGCAUAGCCGACCUGAGAGAGUGAGUAGCCACAUUGGGAAUGAGACACGGCCCAAGCUCCUACGGGAGGCAGCAGUAGGGAAUCUUCCGCAAUGGGCGAAAGCCUGACGGAGCAAUGCCGCGUGAGUGAAGAAGGCCUUCGGGUCGUAAAACUCUGUUAUAAGAGAAGAACAAAUUGUAGAGUAACUGCUACAGUCUUGACGGUAUCUUAUCAGAAAGCCACGGCUAACUACUUGCCAGCAGCCGCAGUAA
rnacentral:rRNA from 1 species